GACGAACGCUGGCGGCGUGCCUAAUACAUGCAAGUAGAACGCACAGUUUAUACCGUAGCUUGCUACACCAUAGACUGUGAGUUGCGAACGGGUGAGUAACGCGUAGGUAACCUGCCUGGUAGCGGGGGAUAACUAUUGGAAACGAUAGCUAAUACCGCAUAAUAUUAAUUAUUGCAUGAUAAUUAAUUGAAUGGUGCAAUUGCACCACUACCAGAUGGACCUGCGUUGUAUUAGCUAGUAGGUGAGGUAACGGCUCACCUAGGCGACGAUACAUAGCCGACCUGAGAGGGGGAUCGGCCACACUGGGACUGGGACACGGCCCAGACUCCUACGGGAGGCAGCAGUAGGGAAUCUUCGGCAAUGGACGGAAGUCUUACCGAGCAACGCCGCGUGAGUGAAGAAGGUUUUCGGAUCGUAAAGCUCUGUUGUAAGGGAAGAACGAGUGGGGGAGUGGAAAGUGCACGCUGUGACGGUAUCUUACCAGAAAGGGACGGCUAACUACGUG
rnacentral:rRNA from 1 species